AUUUCAGUAAGAGGGGAAAAGAGAGAGCUUGUGAGAGACAGCAGAGCGGUCCCAGACUUCCUCAUCUCGUUCACGUCAGAGGCAGGAACGGACUGUGCUAAGGCUGUUGGCUCAACACGCAGAGACAGAGCCGAACAGCCUCAGAGACAGGGAAAGAAGAAGACCUCCCUAACCCAAGAAAUUACCACGAGUGGAGUAAAGCCAUCUGACUUUUUGGUCUUAUUUUGGUUGCCUCUUCUCUCCUUCUACUGGUAGACCUACCUACCAGCUGCCGUUUCGUUUCUUUCGUGAAGCCUUCUCUCUGCCUCUCAGUAAAAAGAGGAAGGGAAGAGAGGGAGAGAGGUGGGCGCUCUAGGUGAGCGCAUCAGCUGGCUCCAGCUCGAACAGACAAGAAUUCUCUGCCUAGGAAGCUGCUCUCGCUCUCCGGCUACCCACCCCCCAACCUGGGUGCCUGCAUUCAUUGCUCAGAGGUCGGAUCUCAUCUGGAGUUAGACUCACAGAGCACGUGGUCAAGAGAAAUCAUCAGAGAGGACGACAUCACGAGGUACUGUGUGCUGUGGACCUUUUCCUAUCCAUCAUGCCAAUGGCCAGUUUAAGGCUUUCAGUAGGAAUUGCAUAUUCCCCGGGACCCGAGACCUUUUGUCACUGAAACAACAACCUUGGGGAUACUCUCCAUGAAAUGAGUUGGCCAACAGCGUCAACUCCUCUGGGCUUCACACGGUCCCUGAAAUCACUCGAGAAAACAGGUACUAAGAUUUUUGGCUACUCAUAAAAUUGUUCUGAAAUGCGUUUCAUGAUGUAGUUGCUAAUAAAAAUGUCUUAGCGAGCUCAGUCUCUCUAAGAGGCUAGACUUGAUUCUCAGCCCAGUGCGCCUGUUCCAGGCCUGCACGAAUCAAUACUAAAUUAUUCACCAGCCUGGCUCUAAAAAUUCCAGAGUUCCAAAACCCCUAAUAAAGUAUUAUGAAAAAAUAUCCAUCUCUUUAUCUCUAUCCAUAACUAAUUAUACGACUGGAGGCAAACCUGUCGUUUUAUUUCUUUUAAUUUAAAAGCUUUCCUAAUUCCUUUUUCCUACCACAUAUAUAUGUCUGAAAAGAUUUGGGUUUGAAAUAAUAACCUCUAAAAAAUGGUCCGCAGGAAAGGCUCUGAGGAUUCUGAGUUGACAGGCACAGUGAAUAUUUUGCUCCC
ensembl:lncRNA AABR07021536.1